CUACGGGAGGCAGCAGUAGGGAAUAUUGCACAAUGGGCGAAAGCCUGAUGCAGCAACGCCGCGUGCGCGAAGAAGGCCUUCGGGUUGUAAAGCGCUUUUCUGGAGGAAGAGGAAGGACGGUACUCCAGGAAUAAGGAUCGGCUAACUACGUGCCAGCAGCCGCGGUAAU
rnacentral:rRNA from 1 species